CUUUGUUUCGUAUCUGUUUCUCGCAUUUUACCGAGAAAAUCUCACGUCAUUUCCAAGAAAAAGCCCUACCACCGUAUCGUUUCCAAACUCAAGCUGUGAUAAGAGAUGUUUCCUCCGGCUGACGACCCUCCUGAUCUAGGGAUCCCACCCAACGGCGGCCCUCUGCCCGUCAGGACAAACCCUCGCGUUCGUCCCGGCCAUCAACGCAAUGCCCGGCCGCAGGGGAUUCUGGGGGCCCGAGCUCACCGAGGCGCUCUAUAACAAAAUCGGCGUGAUAGAGCAGGAGUGGUCGUUUCUUGACGGAAUUAAGUCUGGGACAUCGUUGAAGUUCGGGUAGGAAAGUUUGUUAAGGAGGUUUGGAGAGCGGGACUGACUCGAUCAGUUGCGGUCAGAAAUGAGGAUCGGCGUUCGGAGGCCUAGGCUUGCUCUUGUGAGUUUUUGCUUUGAGAAUGGAGAAUGUUUGCGUGAGGUAGUGCAUCUGGAAAUGGAUCACGUUCACCCUUCAAAUUUGAGUCUCCCAUUUCUCUCAAGGCAGGACAAAAUGAGAUUGCUCUUUUGAGCAUGACUGUUGGCCUACAAGUAAGUUGCCCUCCUUUAUUUUAUUUACUUAAGUGCUUGACACUUGCUGGAAGGAUCUGGUUGUUUGUUUUGAUUGCCUCACACUAACUUUUUAUGGUGCAAUGGGCUAUAUGCUUCUAUUGGAAAAGAAACACAGUGCAGACAUACAUUGCCUUCUCCUAUGUGGUGUUUUAACCUUCACAAGUCCUUCGGAUAAAAUGUUCAUUGCAACUAGCUAGUUUGCAAUUGCUUUGUUUGACAUCUUUUUGUACUUUUUUAUUAUUUCAGGGCUAAUUUUUAUUUCCUGGAUGAUGACAUUUACUCGUCAUGAGAUAUACCGGGGGUUUUUAA